UCUCGGCAAAUUAUCCUCAUAAGUUUGACAAUAAGAGAAACCAUAUAAAAUUUAAAUUAUUAAUUUAAAUUAAUAAUAUGGUAUAAUAAAAUCGGAGGCCACGACUGUUUACUAAAAACACAAUUCAGAGCAAUGAUUAAGAUAAUAGUAUUCUGGAUGAAAUUUGCUCAAUGCCAUUAAUAUAAGAGAGGUAAUUUUAAAGUUACUAAUCGAAAAUCUGGUUAAUAGCGGUCUUAACUAUGAGGAUCCUAAGGUAGCAAAAUAAAUUGGCCAUUAAAUGUGGUCUUGUAUCAAUAAUGUAACGAUGGUCUCACUGUCUCUACAACUUGCUCAGUGAAAUUGAAUUGCGAGUGCAGAUGCUCGC
rnacentral:rRNA from 1 species